GGGGCUCUUAAGUCAUAGGCCAAGACCUAAAGCUUGUGUAGUCAUCCAAAUGACUAGUAAAAAGAAUAUUCAAUGGAAUGAACUGAAUAAGUGCCAUAUAAGAGAAGCUGACCAAAUCAAUUAAAGAAUACUCCUAAGUGUGAUAGACUGUGCUAUAGAUCGACUAGAAGGAGACAGUCGAAGCAAGCUAUUAAGGGAUAGGCCAAAUGAAGGUUAAUAACAGCUCAAGACCAAUCAUGUUCAAUUAUUGGUCUGAUAAAUAGAGAGUUUGGUCAUUUUGAUGAA
rnacentral:lncRNA from 1 species